rnacentral:lncRNA from 1 species
UCCUGACGAGCUUUCUUCAUUCUGGGAUAAUCAUAUUUUAACAAUCUUUCCCUUUAACACAAAAGAACAAUAGGAAGGUUUAGAGAAAAAUGGGAAAAUAUUUAGGGUAGGAGAAAAAGUUAUGUUACAUAUUCUACUCCAAAAUUCUUUUACUAAUAAACCUCAUGAUGUAACCUGGGGUAUCAGUGUGUAAAAUAAAUGGUAUUUGAUAGUGUGGUUAUGUAACUAAAAGCUGGUUUGCGAUGUAGUGCACAGAACUAACCCCCACCCUCACCCCAGGCUGCCAAGAUGGUAGAGGAAAUAGUGAACAAGAGAUGACAGAAUUCACGCAGAACAAGCAGAACACUAGAUGAGCUUGGGAGGGCUGCUUAUCUGAGACUAGAAUUUCAAGAUAGUUGAAGUUUUAGAAACAUAUUAGAAAAGAUACUGAUUUCAAACUCAAAUCAUUUUAUAUUGAAUAUCAUAGUAGCUGUGAGUGAGGGUAGGGGGUUGGGCAAAUUGUAAGAAUUAGCUCUGAAGUCAUGUCCAUUGGACGUCUCCCAAUUCUGAAAUGUCCCAUGAGUACCUCAAACUCAGCAUGUUCCAAACUAAGCAUAUCUACUCCCCUUCAUCACCCCUAGACUUGCUCCUUCUCCUGUAUCCUUAUUUUUGGGAAUGCCAUCCUUGGUCAGUUACCUAAGACAGUUGUACCUUCUCUUUUACCCUCCAGUGGAUUCUAGGUCCUGCUGAUGGAAUCUAUAUAUCUACAGAUCUAUCUCCUAUGUCUGUCCCUUUUCCUUUGUCCACACUGUCACUCUCUUCCUCAGGUCAGCAUCAUCUCUCACUUGGAUGACCCCACCCACAACCUAAGUGGUCUCCUUGGUUAUGGUACUUCCCAAAUCAAAUACAUUUGUGGACUGCAGCCAGACUGUUCCUUCCAAAACACAGAGCUGCUUUGUCAUUCAUCUGCUGAACACCCUUCUUGCACCUCCUAAGGUAAAAAGCUAAACCACUUUAACAUGGCUUAUUAGACCUCUCAGAAGCUGCCACUUUAUUCCUUGCCCCCUCCUAGCUUAGGGUAAACUACACUGGACCAUUCUGGUUUGUUAAAUGGGCCAUUUUCUCUCCUCAAGGUCUUCACCCAUAUUGUUUCCUUGCCUAGGACACUCCUAGCCUUGUUUCUCUUACCCCGGGGUCUAGUUCCUAUGCAUUCUUCAGAUGCAGUGUAUUCAUCACUUCUUCCCAGAGGCCUCCUUGGAUUCCCAAGUCUUGUUAAGACAUGCCUGCUAUGUGCUUCUUCCAACAGUAAUCUCUACCUCUCCUGUCAUCUUACAUAGUAUAUUGUGUUAUAACUGUUCAAUUAAAUGUCCAUUUCUCUAAUUAGACAGUCGGGUCUUUGAAGGCAGACACCAUGUCUGUGUUGAUCAUCAAUGAAUCACCAGUGCCGAGGAGAGGGCCUGGGACAUGGAAGAUAACCAACAUAUAUGUAUUACACAGAAUGAAAGAAAUUAUGAAUUUUUCACAUUACCCCUCAGCAUCCCUCACAACUGAUGGGUCACUUUGUUUCUCUUCAUGCUUAUGCAAUUUGUUUAGGGCUUUUAAUCCAUUCCUGACCAAGUCCUUCAGCGGCUGCUUUUUGCCUUCAGGAUAACGUUUACUGUUUAAUCUUGGCAUGAAACAGAAGGCUCAGUACUUUCCCAGCUGCAUUUCCAGAACCUUCUUUAAAUGAAAUCUAUGCUUAGGUUUCCUCAAGGUCACCUUAGUUCUCAGUCCUUAGUACCUCUGCACCAUUUCCCUCUUUCUACCUGUAACACCCACUGGUUAUUUACUAAUUGCUCUUCAUGACUCAGCCCAAGGUCAUGUCUCCUUGGAAGCCCAGUCUACCAAGCUUUCCUUCUCUUUCUGGUAACAGAAUUGGUAUCGGUUUUCUGAGUGUCAUUGUACCCUAUCCAUUUUUCUCCAUAGUGUCUGAAUUUUGGCUUUCUUCUAAGAUCAUACAUUCAUGAAAAGCAAGGAGAAGAAUCUUAUUUAUCUCCAUAUUCACCUAAUUUAACAUAGUACAUGACACAAAAGGGCGCUUGAUAAAUAUUCUUUGAAUAAGUACUUUCCUUUUAAAUGAAUCCAUCUUUAAAAUACAGGCAAUGACAACCAAAAGAAGCAAAAGGAAUAAACAGAUAUCUUUAAUUUUUUUAGGCCAAACUUGCAUAACGUGCUCAGAUAAUACUUAUGAGGAUCUACACGGACACCUCCUGGCAGGAUGACCACUUAAACUCAGACCCAGGGAGCAAGGAAGGGACAUUGCCUUCACCUUUACCUGUUCAACAUUUUUUUUUCAUCUGGUUUCAACUGUACUUUAAGAAUAUUGCUUCCAGAAUAUAAGCCUUCAAGUCAUCCAUGUUCAUAAAGUAUUCCCCCCAGUCUGCCUGAGUCUAGGCAGGAUUCUCAGUCACACCAUUACUGCAGAUGCUGCCACAUUUGAGACAUUUGUGUUAUGGGGUACAACUGCCUUCUAUUUUUUUUUCCUUAUUUAGAUUUCAUCAGGUCUGUACAGAGAAGAAAUGAGUAGUAGGGUAGUCUCUGAGAAGACAUAAUACCUUCCAGCCAAUAGUUCUAGAAUAGUUGGAAAUUAUUUUUCAAAACCCUGUUAUUCUCUUGGAAAAUGUCAACUGCUUCAUAGACAAUGAAUCCAAAAAAGACUGCUGGUGUUUCAUAGACAGUGCAGCCUAGACAUCCCCCUGAGAGCACUGCAGGCUGCUGUAGCCUAACCCAUGCUGUCUGGAAGCUCCCUAGAGAUCUACUAAUGUCAUCCUCUUAAGAACUAUUUGAACGUCGUGAGCGUUCAACAAUGUAGCCCACAUUCCUACAGAUGUGAGAAAGUGGAAGGACUCCUAUUUAUCCACGAGUGUAAAUACUCCAACAGAUUUAGUCACAGUCCUCCUUCGCCUAAAUUUGGUUCUUGACGUGUGUUCACAUUCUUCUCUCACACACAAACACACCCACCUAUUACAAUAUCUAUAAAUAAUCCCGCCUCUGCAGGCCUGGUUUGAAACUCAAAUUGGGGUUAGUCAGCAUUUACAGAGUGGUCUGCACUUUUCCCAAAGGCAAAUCACGGGAGCUUAAGCAUUUCGAGAUCCUCCCCUGUAGUGUGCCUGUACUUUUAAGCUCUCAGAGGCCAGGAGGGAUGUGGAGUAGAGGUCAGGUAAGAGCACAUGUCAGAAACUAAAUCCUCAAUGUCAGAAGCUCGUCUGAAACAGCAGCAUGCAUGUGACAGUAGCAGGCUCCUAGGACCUGAAAUGUCAGUGGGUCUGUCUUGCAGGAUCUUUAUAAAGGGUAAACAACAGCAGGCAGUAGAACUUGGGCUCUCUUGAAGGUGAGGCCAAGGUCAUGGCCCAGUGUGUGUGUGUGUGUGAAAAGAUUUAUUUAAUGUAAAAAGAUUACAUUUAAAGGAAAGAUUAUUUCCUUUAAAUCUGUUCUUUUGAACAGAUUACAUUUAAAAAAGAUUUAUUUAAAGGAAAGCAUUUUGUAGUAUUCCCACUCUUGAUCUGGGAACAAAAUGACUGGGUUAGGAGGGCUGGUGAUGGGGCCAUGAGGGAAGCAGAAGCAAAGUCAGCAAUAUGGCCCUGUCACAGAGAGUUACAUUUUUCCCAAAGGCUUUGGAUGGCUAGAGAUGACAGUUUGACAGCUGAGCUUGUGACAGGAAGACAAAGUAGCUAAAGAGGAUUUUCGUGCUCUCUUGACCAGCUGCACUCAGACUGCAUUUAAGGUUCCCUUGGUCACCCUCACAUCCUGGGCAACCCUCCAUGUAGCCUUCCCUUAACGCUAAGUCCCUUUGACAGGAUGACCAUUCACGUUAUCCUGAUCUGGUCAGACAGAGAAUACAGAGCCACAUGGCUUAAUUGGAAGGUCAGCUCCUUAACUACACUGCAAAUUACCUGAGGGUGUAGACUGCAUUUCACACCUCUUUUUUCUUGUCCAUUCUAGACACAGGCUUUCAAGACACUGUGGCUCUAGCAUUAACGCUCUAAGCCAAUCCAUGCAUGGUUCUGCUUCUUACAGACACGUGUGAUUCCUGAAUUCCCUGUGGCUUUUUUGAUACUGAGGCUUCGAGAGGAUCUCAGGAAGUAACGGAUCUUCUGAGAAGAGAAACCUACUAAUGCAAACACCAAAUCAUAGCCUCUUUUUAUUCCUCACUGGGACCACCCAGAGAAAAAACAACAGCAACAAAAACCCAAAGAACAUUUUGGUCCUGUGUGAUUUUUUUUUUUCUCCCUUGGUUGGGUCAGCCCUGGUAGAUUCAGCUUGGUCCUUGGUUUUCUACAGCCUCAGAUCCUGUAGGAGAAUGAGUCUCUUCCAAGGCCAGCUCAUGGCUCAGGAUAUCCCCAAAGUGGGGCCAACUUAAACUUCCUGUGCCUCAAUGUGUCUUGUACCCUUUUGGGAUCUCCAUCUCUGUGAGAUACACCAGACCUGAUCCAACUUCCAGAAGCAGGGUUUGAGUAAUGAUUCUCUAACUCCUGCUCCCAUAGUGAUUUUGUCUCUGUGUCAUACACACGGGGUAUGACUGUGGGACCACAGGAAAAGAGCUAUAGAAACCACCAAGGGGACAAAGGCAGGGUUGGAAAGGAAAAGAACAGGAUUCCAGGGAGUUCCUGUUGUGGCUCAGUGGAAAUGAAUCUGAAGAGGAUUCAUGAAGACAUAUGUUCGAUCCCUGGCCUCGACCAAUGGGUUAAGGAUCCGGCAUUGCCAUGAGCUGUGGUGUACAUCACAGACGUGGCUCAGAUCUGGUAUUACUGUGGCUGUGAUGUAGACCGGUGGCUAGAGCUCCAGUUCGACCCCUAGCCUGGGAACCUCCAUAUGCCACAAGUGUGGGCCUAAAAG